CGCCGCCGCUCCUGGGGCGACAGCCGCGGCGUUUGGGGACCUCCCGGGGGCUGCUGCGGAGCGGGGCACGGGGCGAGCAGCUCCUCCUCCCACCGGCAGCUGCCCGCCGCCGCUCCCACCGCCUCGGGGGGACCCGGGCCUGCAGCCAGCUCCUGGGCACCUCACAACCUGCAGGAAACCCAUGGAGCACCCUACGACAGGUGAGGAAAGAAGUGGUUUGCACUGCUCUGUAUCCAGGAUAAUCCUGAGUCAUUUAUGAUCUCCAGCAAGGUACAUGCCCUUCUAUGCAAGUAAAGAAAUAGAGUUACACCACUGUAAGCUGACAGCUAACAGCAAGGCUACGGAUUCACUUAAGUAAGCAUUUAUUAGAGAAUCCUUUAACAUGAAAUUAUACAAAUAAAAGUUUGUAUAAACACAAGUCCACAUUGUGUCAUAACAUGAAUGGCAAAAAGAAAGUAAAAACCAUAAAAGAAAACUAUUCAGCUGCUAUGUACAGUCAGACACAAGUUGUGUCAUACACUAAAAGUCUUUUACAAAAUAAUAAUUUCCUCUCACGAAGACCACCUUCCAUUCACUCACGAUGUUCUGCAAGAUGGCUUCGCUGCAGUACCUCUACCUAAAAAUCAAGACAAAAAUAUAUGUCAGAUCUGUGCAAGUUACUACAAGGAGCUUUAAAAGGUCCAUUUUCAUGAACUGCUUUAAGUCUUCUAUAUAUUCCUUUCUUCACUGUUAAAGAUCAUAUGCAUAUUUUAUUAAGGCAACACAAGAGGUUUUGUUACCCAUAAUUAGUCUUCCCCAAUAUUGCAAAUCAGUCAAUUUAGGAAGCUGUUCCAGAACCACACACAUCUGAUGCAGACUAUUAAUCUGGCUCUGGUUUUCUUCCCCCACUGGAAACACCACCAAAAAGGUUUCCCAUUAUUUGUUUAUCCAUCUAAAUGACUGCUGUGCAAAUGCAAGUUGGGUCAAUUUAGUUCAAACAGUCCACGUGCAGAUGAUCUUUAAUGUUUUUCCAGAUUUAAAAGUUCGUUUUGGUUUGCAGAUUUCACUAUUAGCUAUAAAAAGAAAAAAGCAAGCAUUAAAUCUUAAAGAAUGGACACUUAAAAUGAGGUUCCACAAUUGAAAUACAACACUAAACAGAAGACCAAAUGAUUAAGCUGUAAAGGCAUUUAUGUACUUUAACUCCUGUAAAAAACCAUUUAAGUUAAGACACUUAAUCUCCAAAAAGAUUAAAAAAAGAAGCCAAAGUCUGAAGUUUUC